rnacentral:rRNA from 1 species
UGCGGUUAAAAAGCUCGUAGUUGGAUCUGUGUACCGCGCCGUCGGUUCACCGCACGUCGGUGUUAAACUGGCGUGUAUGCGGGACGUCCUGGCGGUGGUGGUCCGGUGCUUCGUUGGCCCUAAGGGGUCCAGGUCUCCUGCGACUCCCCGAAGGCGGUCGUGUGCUUCCGUCCACCUUGUCAAUCGCGCCGCGGUGCUCUUCACUGAGUGUCGAGGCGGGCCGGCACGUUUACUUUGAACAAAUUAGAGUGCUUUAAGCAGGCUCUUUCCCGCCUGUAUAUUGUGUGCAUGGAAUAAUGGAAUAGGACCUCGGUUCUAUUUUGUUGGUUUUCGGAAUCUGAGGUAAUGAUUAAUGGGGACAGGCGGGGGCAUUCGUAUUGCGACGUUAGAGGUGAAAUUCUUGGAUCGUCGCAAGACGGACCGAAGCGAAAGCAUUUGCCAAGUAUGUUCUCGUCGAUCAAGAACGAAAGUUAGAGGUUCGAAGGCGAUCAGAUACCGCCCUAGUUCUAACCAUAAACUAUGCCUGCCAGCGAUCCGCCGGCGUUCCUCCGAUGACACGGCGGGCAGCUACCGGGAAACCAAAGCUUUUGGGUUCCGGGGGAAGUAUGGUUGCAAAGCUGAAACUUAAAGGAAUUGACGGAAGGGCACCACCAGGAGUGGAGCCUGCGGCUUAAUUUGACUCAACACGGGAAAACUCACCAGGCCCGGACACCGGAAGGAUUGACAGAUUAAGAGCUCUUUCUUGAUUCGGUGGGUGGUGGUGCAUGGCCGUUCUUAGUUGGUGGAGUGAUUUGUCUGGUUUAUUCCGAUAACGAACGAGACUCCAGCCUGCUAACUAGACGUCCCCGGUAUCUAGCGUGCUACCGGCGAGCUAAAAGCUUCUUAGAGGGACAGGCGGCUCCUAGCCGCACGAGACUGAGCAAUAACAGGUCUGUGAUGCCCUUAGAUGUCCUGGGCUGCACGCGCGCUACAUUGGACAAGGCAGCGUGUCUUCCCUGUCCGAGAGGACCGGGUAAUCCGCUGAAACUUGUCCGUGCCUGGAAUUGGGGAUUGCAAUUCUUCCCCAUGAACAAGGAAUUCCGAGUAAGCGCGAGUCAUAAGCUCGCGUUGAUUACGUCCCUGCCCUUUGUACACACCGCCCGUCGCUACUACCGAUUGAAUGAUUUAGCGAGGUCUUCGGACUGGCGCGCGGACGCCGCCUCGGCGGAGCCCGUCGCCGCCGGAAAGAUGAUCGAACUUGAUCAUUUAGAGGAAGUAAAAGUCGUAACAA